rnacentral:rRNA from 1 species
CUGGCGGCGUGCUUAACACAUGCAAGUCGAGCGGUAAGGCCCUUCGGGGUACACGAGCGGCGAACGGGUGAGUAACACGUGGGUGAUCUGCCCUGUACUUCGGGAUAAGCCUGGGAAACUGGGUCUAAUACCGGAUAUGACCUUACAUCGCAUGGUGUUUGGUGGAAAGAUUUAUCGGUACAGGAUGGGCCCGCGGCCUAUCAGCUUGUUGGUGGGGUAAUGGCCUACCAAGGCGACGACGGGUAGCCGGCCUGAGAGGGCGACCGGCCACACUGGGACUGAGACACGGCCCAGACUCCUACGGGAGGCAGCAGUGGGGAAUAUUGCACAAUGGGCGAAAGCCUGAUGCAGCGACGCCGCGUGAGGGAUGACGGCCUUCGGGUUGUAAACCUCUUUCGACAGGGACGAAGCGCAAGUGACGGUACCUGUAGAAGAAGCACCGGCCAACUACGUGCCAGCAGCCGCGGUAAUACGUAGGGUGCGAGCGUUGUCCGGAAUUACUGGGCGUAAAGAGCUUGUAGGCGGUUUGUCGCGUCGUCCGUGAAAACUUGGGGCUCAACCCCAAGCUUGCGGGCGAUACGGGCAGACUUGAGUACUGCAGGGGGAGACUGGAAUUCCUGGUGUAGCGGUGAAAUGCGCAGAUAUCAGGAGGAAC